rnacentral:rRNA from 1 species
AUUGAACGCUGGCGGCAGGCCUAACACAUGCAAGUCGAACGGCAGCACAGAAGAGCUUGCUCUUUGGGUGGCGAGUGGCGGACGGGUGAGUAAUGUCCGGGAAACUGCCCGAUGGAGGGGGAUAACUACUGGAAACGGUAGCUAAUACCGCAUAACGUCGCGAGACCAAAGUGGGGGACCUUCGGGCCUCACACCAUCGGAAGUGCCCAGAUGGGAUUAGCUAGUAGGUGGGGUAAUGGCUCACCUAGGCGACGAUCCCUAGCUGGUCUGAGAGGAUGACCAGCCACACUGGAACUGAGACACGGUCCUGACUCCUACGGGAGGCAGCAGUGGGGAAUAUUGCACAAUGGGCGCAAGCCUGAUGCAGCCAUGCCGCGUGUAUGAAGAAGGCCUUCGGGUUGUAAAGUACUUUCAGCGGGGAGGAAGGCGGUGAGGUUAAUAACCUCGCCGAUUGACGUUACCCGCAGAAGAAGCACCGGCUAACUCCGUGCCAGCCGCCGCCGUAA